rnacentral:rRNA from 1 species
GAAUUGGACGGGACCCGCACAAGCAGCGGAGCGUGUGGUUUAAUUCGUUGCUACACGAAGAACCUUACCUGGGUUUGACAUAUAGGUUGUAGGGAACUGAAAAGGGACCGACCCUUCGGGAGCCUAUACAGGUGUUGCAUGGCUGUCGUCAGCUCGUGUCGUGAGAUGUUCGGUUAAGUCCGCUAACGAGCGCAACCCUCGUCGUAUGUUAUAUGUGUCAUACGAGACUGCCGGUAAAAAGCCGGAGGAAGGUGAGGAUGAUGUCAAGUCAGCAUGACCUUUAUAUCCAGGGCUACACACACGCUACAAUGGUCUGUACAAUGGGUAGCCAAGCCGCGAGGCGGAGCCAAUCCUGAAAGCAGGCCUCAGUUCAGAUUGCAGUCUGCAACUCGACUGCAUGAAGCCGGAGUUGCUAGUAACCGCAGGUCAGCAAUACUGCGGUGAAUACGUUCCCGGGUCUU